rnacentral:rRNA from 1 species
AAACGGUAGCUAAUACCGCAUAACGUCGCAAGACCAAAGAGGGGGACCUUAGGGCCUCUUGCCAUCGGAUGUGCCCAGAUGGGAUUAGCUAGUAGGUGGGGUAACGGCUCACCUAGGCGACGAUCCCUAGCUGGUCUGAGAGGAUGACCAGCCACACUGGAACUGAGACACGGUCCAGACUCCUACGGGAGGCAGCAGUGGGGAAUAUUGCACAAUGGGCGCAAGCCUGAUGCAGCCAUGCCGCGUGUAUGAAGAAGGCCUUCGGGUUGUAAAGUACUUUCAGCGGGGAGGAAGGGAGUAAAGUUAAUACCUUUGCUCAUUGACGUUACCCGCAGAAGAAGCACCGGCUAACUCCGUGCCAGCAGCCGCGGUAAUACGGAGGGUGCAAGCGUUAAUCGGAAUUACUGGGCGUAAAGCGCACGCAGGCGGUUUGUUAAGUCAGAUGUGAAAUCCCCGGGCUCAACCUGGGAACUGCAUCUGAUACUGGCAAGCUUGAGUCUCGUAGAGGGGGGUAGAAUUCCAGGUGUAGCGGUGAAAUGCGUAGAGAUCUGGAGGAAUACCGGUGGCGAAGGCGGCCCCCUGGACGAAGACUGACGCUCAGGUGCGAAAGCGUGGGGAGCAAACAGGAUUAGAUACCCUGGUAGUCCACGCCGUAAACGAUGUCGACUUGGAGGUUGUGCCCUUGAGGCGUGGCUUCCGGAGCUAACGCGUUAAGUCGACCGCCUGGGGAGUACGGCCGCAAGGUUAAAACUCAAAUGAAUUGACGGGGGCCCGCACAAGCGGUGGAGCAUGUGGUUUAAUUCGAUGCAACGCGAAGAACCUUACCUGGUCUUGACAUCCACGGAAGUUUUCAGAGAUGAGAAUGUGCCUUCGGGAACCGUGAGACAGGUGCUGCAUGGCUGUCGUCAGCUCGUGUUGUGAAAUGUUGGGUUAAGUCCCGCAACGAGCGCAACCCUUAUCCUUUGUUGCCAGCGGUCCGGCCGGGAACUCAAAGGAGACUGCCAGUGAUAAACUGGAGGAAGGUGGGGAUGACGUCAAGUCAUCAUGGCCCUUACGACCAGGGCUACACACGUGCUACAAUGGCGCAUACAAAGAGAAGCGACCUCGCGAGAGCAAGCGGACCUCAUAAAGUGCGUCGUAGUCCGGAUUGGAGUCUGCAACUCGACUCCAUGAAGUCGGAAUCGCUAGUAAUCGUGGAUCAGAAUGCCACGGUGAAUACGUUCCCGGGCCUUGUACACACCGCCCGUCACACCAUGGGAGUGGGUUGCAAAAGAAGUAGGUAGCUUAACCUUCGGGAGGGCGCUUACCACUUUGUGAUUCAUGACUGGGGUGAAGUCGUAACAAGGUAACCGUAGGGGAACCUGCGGUUGGAUCACCUCCUUACCUUAAAGAAGC